GACGAACGCUGGCGGCGUGCUUAACACAUGCAAGUCGAACGGGAGUAUUGAAGAAGCUUGCUUUAGAGAUACUUUAGUGGCGGACGGGUGAGUAACGCGUGAGGAGCUGUCCUAUGCAGGGGGACAACAGCUGGAAACGGCUGCUAAUACCCCAUAAGCCGAGAGGUAAAAGGAUCAAUCCGGCAGAGGAGGUACUCGCGUCCUAUCAGCUAGUAGGUGAGGUAACGGCUCACCUAGGCGAAGACGGGUAGCCGGCCUGAGAGGGCGAACGGCCACACUGGAACUGAGAUACGGUCCAGACUCCUACGGGAGCAGCAGUGGGGAAUAUUGGGCAAUGGGGGAAACCCUGACCCAGCGACGCCGCGUGGGUGAAGAAAUCCUUCGGGAUGUAAAGCCCUGUUGUAUGGGAAGAGCGGAAGACGGUACCAUACGAGGAAGCCCCGGCAAACUACGUG
rnacentral:rRNA from 1 species